GCCUGCCUGCUCUCCCUCGCUUUCCGCCUCUCCCCCCGUCGGGCUGGUGGACGAGAGCUGCCGGGACUCUCUGUUUAAAAAGGGGCGGGCUCCAUAGAUCAAGCCCGCCCUCCUCUGCUCCCCACCUUCCAAUGACACUUUCUUUUUUCAUUGCCGGCGAGAGCCGAAGUCGCAGGUUUUGGUCAAGAAAACCAUCGCUGGAGCGGACGGGGGGAGUCCGAGCCGCGGCUUCGUACACCCGGGAUCGGCGCCCGCUCCCCGCCGGCUCCGUCCAAAAAGCUUUAAAAUCCCAAAGUAGCCCAGGCAGAGCGGCACCGGAGCUGCCUGCUCUGCCAGGACCUGGCGGCUUGAAGAAGUGGACCAGCAGUUGAAGAAUCCCCUGUGCGGCACUUCUUAUAGCAGUUAUUUUCUUAGGCAUUUCUCAGAUAAGAGGCAAUUCAAGCAACUUUUGUUCAGGAUGAGAUUUGUGUUGUGCACUUUUCAGGCACCCUGAGGGAAAAGGAAGAUUAUAUCCAAAACUGAGUUUAUUUUGUUUUGUUUUACAGUUUGAAAGGUCUCUAAAAAUUUAAGACAUGCUUUAGAGCUACAUAUAAUUAAGUGUUGUCUUCUACCCCUUCCUCAAAUCAAAACCCCCAGCCUUGGUUUAAAAGGUUUUUAAACCUUUAAAACACAUGAGCAAGGCAAAUGAGAAGUUUGGAAGUUCAGUUUGCACUUCCAUAGAAAAUGUCAAAGUUCUUUACAUUCUUCGCUCAACUUUGGGACAAGGCACAGAAAUGUUGGUAUUUCCUGCAGAAGGGGAAAGUUUUAAAAUAAAAAUCAAUUCAGAAUCCACUUCUGGGCAAAAUGGUACCUCCUGACUCUUCAACUGGUGAAGUGCUACAAACCUUAACUAUUAGGAAUCAAUGAUUAAUUUUGUACGAUGAAUGUAAAAGCAUAAAUGAAGCAUCACCUGCAAAGCUGUGCAUCUUCAACCCUGCUACUGGCUGGCCAGGGUUGCAGGGCUGGGAGGCAGAUCCUCGACAGUGCAGAAAUCUCCAGGAUUGUGGAGACCAAGUCAGCAUGUCCUUAGGGCAAGGUGUAACGGCACAUAACCUCCCUGCAUGGCAUUGUGCCCGCUCUUAUAAACCAGAUUUAAUUAAAAUCUCUGAUACUUACCAAGAGAUAACUCACCCAUCUCUCCCUGAGCUGCAGUGCUUGCAGAGCACCCUGAGCCCUGACCACCUUCCUACAAUGUCCACAUGUACCCCAAAGCUUUCAGUCUUCACAGAGAGAGAUACACACAGGGUGCUUGAGCUUGGGAUAAUGCUCCAGAAAUCAUGGUGGGAGAAGGAAAGGUAGGCUGUGUCCCGAACUCAGGUGGGUGUGGACACAUUUCCCAGGAGUGCCAGGGGGAUCCUGUGCUGCCAUUUGGGCAUGUGGAGCAAUACUGAGCAGCUGAUCAGCAAAAAGGGAUUGAGGAAAAGUGAACCGAGUUGCCUGAGGAAGGGGAGGUGAAAAGCUGAGCAUAGCAUUAGGGCUGAGUCAGAGGGGAGGGGAGGAGGCAUACGUGGAGCUAGUCCUGCCUGUGUCUGGGAGAGAGGGGUGCAGCCUUCAGGCCUCUGAUCAGCAUGGUGUUGGGAAACAGGUCUGGUUUAUCUGGGCUGCAAAGUGCCCCAGGGCAUCCCCAUUUCACAAACAUCUCACAUCCCACCACUCAGCCUCAGCAUCCCCUGUGUCCCAUCAGGCACUGGUGAGAGCUGCCUUGCUUCUGUUCAGCUCACUGUCACGGGAAGACCUAUCAGAGCUUUGGAGUUUUUCUCCGUACUUUUCUACAAGGUGACCAGUAGAAAACUAAUUUGGCUCUGGGGCAAGGUUUGAUGGAGCUCAGGAGCUGGUAAUGGCUGAGAAGUGACAGCACAUACCUGUGACUUGGUUGGGUAGGACCCUUUCUUUUUUGGCUCUGAGCUGAAUGGAGCAAGGUUGUUUUGUCAAGCAUCCUCACAGCCCAACCCACUGAUCUGAAACCACCAACCUGAAGGAAGGCAAGAAACACAAAUUUAUCAUUCAGAAAAGGGGAUCCAACUCAUGGGACUCCAUUAUGGGGCAGAGUUGGGAGAGGUCUGAAGCCUCCCAGGACCAAAUCCUGGCUUUGCAAUGUCACUAAACAUACAUUUAUGCAUUCCAUGCAGCAUGCCAUGACUUCCAGAGCCAUUUCCAUCAACAUGAACAAGUUGUAUGUUGUGUGGCAUUUUGAAUCUUUACAGUUGGAGAUUAGUAAGUGCAGAAUGAAAGCUGUGCUCUAAGUAAAUAGAUUAUGUGGAGCUUAGAGAAACUAAGCUGCAAUCUUAAAUUCAAAUAACUUUCCUAUUAGGAAGGAUCUAUUAAUACUUACAGUAUGGUAAUUGUGCAGACUCCAAGUCCUCACCCAGUCAAAAGUAAGACUUCAGAGCCCAUACCUACCCCUUAAAACACUGGGAAUUUUGCCUGUGUAAAUAUUGCAGAACUUGAGCUGCAAAUGCCUCUUCUAGAAACCACAAAAUCAGAACUUGAUCACAACAGCAAAAUUUCAGUAAGAAAUUAAGGCAGUGCACACUGCUGCAAGAAUACACUUGAGCAACCCAGAUUUCCUGAGGUUUUUGCACUGCUUUUCUCCCUUGUUACAAUUUCAUUUUCACUAUAGGUGAGGCCAUACCCAGCACUAAUCUUUAUUCUUUGUGGCUCAGUCUCUCUGGGUAAGCAUCAUCUUCCUUUAUCUGCUGCAUCCUCUUGCUUGCCCAACCAUUAUCCCACAAGGCAGUUUCCCUUUGAUGGUUGCUCCUCAAUGCUACAAGAUAUGUGAAACAGCCAACUCUUCUCCUUCUGUCUAAUCUGUGUGGUCAGAAAGUGAAAGAUUUCAUUCCCUUCAAACAGCUGUUCACCCUCUCCUUCCUCUCUCAUUCAUCUGCUGAUGCUGGUAACAAGGAUACACUCUGGGCUGCCUUUCUCUUUGUUUUGGAAACUCUCAUAGAGGCUUCUCUUUAAAAGACAUUUUCAGCAGUUGUGUCAAAGCUGGAUUUUUAGGUUUUUGAAGCCUUUCACAUUUGUUUGGAGGGACUGAAUCUUGCAAGUUCUUGGUGUAUACUUAAUUUUCAAACUUAUCUGUGGCAAGCCUACUCUUUUUGGUCCUCGUUAAAAGGAUUUAAAUACACUCAUCUACUGUAGUCCUUUAAGCUUCUGCUUCCUCCCUGGAGUUCUCUUCUUACCCCAUGUAGUUUGCUGCUGCCAUCAAGGUCUGAAUCACUGGGUUGUUCAGGAGUUGGUUCCUCUGACCACAGGAGGCUGGGAAGUGCUCCCUGCCAUUCCCAGCAAUACCAGCACAGCACUGCUAUCACUGCUGUCACAACUUGCCCUCUGUGGGCCCAUAUCCUGGUCCCCAUUUUAGGGCCAGUGGCUGAGGGAGAUGUGACACGAUGUGCCAGGAUGCUGCAGAGCCAUCAGUGCCAUCCCACUCCCCUGAACACUGCGAUGUGCACACUGAGGUAAAUAAUUCGAGGUUACCCAGGGCAAUAAUACCCAAACAUCCUUCAUUUUGGUCCUGGGUCAAACCGUGCAACUCAAACAUCUUCCCAGCCAGUGCAUUGCAGCAGGAGCUGUGUUCUGUGGGAGCCAUCCAUGCUCUGCACACAGGUGCAAGGUGGGGCACAGUGGAAAUACAGUGUAGCCUUGUCCUUGCAGAUACCAUCCCUGCUCUUUGCCUGGUGGGGAAUCACCAUUUGGGAACAGAAGGUGAAGGAGGGAACACAAACAAGCCUGUUCCACUGCUCCACUCAUGCAGGGAAACUGGCCUUCAGCUUGCCUUCAGAAACAGUUUGACCCUGGAAAACAGAUACAUGAGUAGGAACUAGGGACUGGGUGGGAGGAACAGCAAAGCCCACGUAGACACUGCAAACGUGUGGGAUUUUCAUCUUCAGGUCAGCACGGAUGGACAUAAUGAUCCCUUGAGGCUCUCCACUUGAAACUGCUGGUUCCAGCUUGCCCCUCCCCUGCUCCCAGCAUUGCUGCUGACUGUUCACACACUGCUCCUUUCCCUUACACCUCUUAUCUGCCACAUGGAAAGUGCUCAGGGUAGCCCAGCUUCUGUGUCUCACUGCAGCCUGGCUGUUCCUUUGGCCUAAUAAGCAGUUGUAGAUCCCAUCUCCCUCUUUACUACAGGUAAACCUGGGAGGGGUCCAAAAGUAGCUAAGAAACACUCAAUUUUGAAUCUUCCCAUUUUUGUGCAAAUUAAGCCACAUAAAGCUAAACAUUAUAUUAGUUUAUCUUUUGUAUACAUUCUGCAUGACUUUUGAUAUUAUGUACUUAUGCAUCUAUGCUAUGUUUCAGGUGCCUUUGCCAAAACAUUAACAGCAAUACUAGGAGGACUAACUAGAGCAGAUGUUCUGUAAUCCCACACCAAAAGGCAACCUGGGAAUGUUGGAAAUUAUACAGGUACAAAAAGCUUUAUCCCUCGAGCCAUUACUUUUGUUAUAUAAACAAAUUAUCAUAACAGCUCUGUGAGGUGUCACCAUCACCUUAUGAAAAGAAGACUGAGAUGAUUGAUUUGGCAAAGAACAUUGGGUCAUGGAGCUCUGACCUCAUGGUAGUUCCACCCUCCCUCUCCAUCUUGUAUGCAGUCUAAGUGUAUAAUGUAAUAUUUCAGUGCAGGGAUCAUUAAACUGUAAAACUCUUAUUUUAGGAGGGUUGUUUUCAUUCUUUUCCCAAAUAGUAGAUUUUCUCCAGAUAUAACAAAAUACAAACAUCCAGUAGAGCAGGGAAAAAGCUAAGCAACAUUACAGAUAUCAAGUUCUUUUUCCCUACAGUAUUUGAUUUCCCUUGGGGUGUAACGAGGUACCCAGCUAAAAGCAAAGACGUCUCCCUGGGGGAAGUCUUUACUGUGUUGUUGCAUUUGUAUUGUGGUAGGAAGUCUCUACUGGUUGUAAAACUGUCAAAAAAAUUGUCAAUGGCCAAAAAGCUGGGAAUGUUUUAGGCCUAAUCCAGUGCCUGUCAAAACUCAUCAUCAAAACUUCCACUGGCUUAGAGAAGUGCAGAAUGAAUCUCUGUCAUUUCCAGGAGCUAUUUUAUAGCAUCACAUCUUGCUCAUUAAUAUCCACCUGACAAGCAUAUAUAACAUCCACUAUUUCUUUACCAAGAUGCAACAGCUUGAAAAACCCAUUUUGUUUUUAACUUACAAAAAUGUCUGUGCUUGCUUAGUUGCAGUACCAAAACUGGGAUGUUUUAAAAUUCUUCUCAGAUAGCUGAGGGUUCCCAGAACAGAUGGGCACAGGGAGAGAGAAGAUAAUCUAAUGGCAGCCCAUCACUUUGUAGCACUGCUGGUACCACAUCAUUACCACAGCCAGAAUGUGCAACAGACCACAGCCAUUGACCCCAACUUGCAGGAUAUGUUGAGGAAACAGCUUUCUUCUUAUAGGUGCUCCUAUACCCUUGCACCCAGUUUCCUCCUCUCCUCUGAAAGCAGCAUUGAUAAGAAAGAGACCAGAAAUGCUUAGUGUGGAAGAUUCAGCUUAUAAACACAGCAUAAAAAUCCAAAAAGGGAUUUGGUCUCUCCCCAACUACGCUGUGUUUGCCGUGGAUGAAGCAGUGGUGAACAAAUUCUAUUUUCAGCUGCGCUGUUUCUCACGAUGGCUGUCGCUGCCUGGGCAGCUGGGCACACCUAACACAGGAUCCCUCACUCUGGUUUGUGCCUGAGCUACUGCUUUGUUGUCAGAUACCUGCAGCCUUGGCUUUGCUGCUUAACUUCAGUCAGCUCUGCUUUUGCAACCAAAAUAGGAGACUUAACACUAAGAAUUCAGUUUCUUAGAAGAUGGAGUUUAGGUGAGAUGUUAAAAAGCAGGCACAAAAGUAGCAGGACUCAGGGAGAGCAAACUUUGGGUGAUCUGCAAAGCUGAAACAAAAUUGUCUUUUUCUUCCCAGCUGUUUCCAACAGCCACCUCUGCUCUAUGCCUUCAUGCUUUCUCACUCACAAAAUACUUUUUUUUUUUUGAUGGCAAAGGUUGUCUAGGAGCAAACCUGGAAUCCAUCCUUUCCCCUCACAGGUGCGAGGAGAGCUUACAAGAAUGAUGUGAAUUGGCUGCAGCCUUCUUAAGCACAUUCAUGUCAUGCCACUCUGGCUGGGAUGCUGGAGAGAGAAUUAAUGGAGUGUAAAUCCCUGUUUGGAAAUCUCCAGCUUCUCCCUGUAACUCCUUCAUUCCCUUUGCAAACCACAGGAAGAGGGGAUGUCCCAGAGAACCACAGCUGCACAUUUUGGGUCUUGAUUAAAAGUAGGGGAGAAUUCACACAACCAGAGCUGCCUGUCUAAGGGGUUCAGAGUGAACUGGGAUACUUCCAAGAGAAUCUGUAGUCCUGAGACUAAACCCUGCGAGCAACAAUCCUCUUUUAAAGUUAUUGUAUGGCUUGGCUACAGAGAUAAGGCACCAGAUGGCUUGGGAAGAAUUUUUAGGAGACAGUCUGCUGGUAUGCCUGGAAGGAUCUUGAGAGUUUACGUUUACAAUAGACCAUUUCUUUGGAGGCGAAUGUUUGUCAGGAACAUCAGUUUUAAUUACCUAAAAUGUAGGCUGUUUCCAAAUGCAGACAAUGUUAAGAGGAGUAGGUUUUUUUCCUGAAGAGAGGACAGCCAACAGAAAUCCCUUCCUUUAUAGGUGGCAAAUUGACUUGUGAGACUACUGUUGUGCAGUUUUCAUCCCAAAUGCUAUCCUGCAGCACUUUCUUUCACUGACGAAUUAUUCAUAGCACAAGUAGGUGUUACUUUUAAUCUGUUUUCAGCCAAUGAAUUAAGGAGCUAAUUUUGUCACCUCUAAGCACAUAAGAGCAGCCCUCAAAAUUCCCAAAACUUUUCAACUGAGCCUUUUGUAUGUCUUUUGCAUGCAAGGAGGGAUAAACUGGGACAGGAGCCAUAAGGAUGCCAGUAGGAAUAAACAACCUGUCAGUAAUCUCUGUUGCUUUAAUACAUGCAACUUGCUUCUAAAUCCAGGUGUGAUCAUUUGACAGUAAGGAUUAUAGCACUAUUACCCAUAAUAUCUGAAUUCAAUGACACCACGAAUUGAGCUCCCAUAUACCCAGUGUGAAGACAUGACAUUUCUUUCCCAGCCAGAAGUAUUACCAAAAAUUAUCUAAAGGAUUUGGACCUUCCUGAGAACUGUGGCCCUGCUGGAGCUCCUCAUCACCUACAGGUGCAUGGCAGACCUGAGGAGAUGUGCAUGUGGGCAGCACACCUUGUAUGUCUGGAGGUGUGGCAGCUCUGCUAAGGGGGUAAUUUCCUACCCCACACAUGGAUGCUGAGAUAUACAUGUCGUGUUUUUCAGACCUUUCAACUUUCUUAUAUGCAUUGCAACAUAAAUAACAUUAACAAAUGCUGGUGAUGGGAAUCAGGCUCAUGUUUGUAAGCCAGCUGUAUCCAUGUUGUCUCCCCAUAUUUUAUCACCUUAAUUCUUAAAUAUCCCUAACCUUUCCAUUCAGAAUUUUUAAAAGGACAAAGCACGAUUUGGAAAUGACUGUAACACAAGGAUAUUUGUUGACUUAACUGACAUUGUUUUGACACGUCAGGGCCUCCCAGGGGACCAAGACCCCAUUGUCUAAUGGCAGAGCAAACACAGGGCUGAAAAUGGGGCCAGUAUCGGCAUUCCCCUGCCUUAUCACACUCAGUUAAUGCGUUACUCCACACCAGCCAGCCAGCUAAGAAUAGCAUUUGUUGAAGGGAGGAGAAAUCUCAUACACACCAGCAGCAUUCUUUCUCUCUGCUGUUUUCAUAGGAGGUUCCAGCACAUGGUUCUUUGUAGCACAAAGCCCAUAGUCAAAACAGAGAAUUGUCAAAAUCUGAGCCAUUUCAUCCACCAACAAAUUUUGUGUUCCUUCUACAGCAGGACAGAGAGAUGCUUGCCCAUGGCUGAGACUCCUAGACCUCUCAUAGCUUGUGAAACACAAGGAGAGCCAAAAGAGCAACUUCCCCCACACACAAGUAGAAGUGGGCACAUUAAAGCAGACACAUUAUCCUGUUUGAUUCUGUGCAUCAGUUAACUCCUCUGAACAGUGAGAAUAGAACUUUGCAGCCCUGGUUAUACAUAUACAAAACCAUGUGGUUUAAGGCAGCAGUAUCUAAUUGCAUUAAUUUUUUUUGAAUACCAUUAUGUAUAGAAAACAGGCCUCUGGGCCAGGAGCUGGCACUUUUCAGAAGCUGACAUGCUUCUGCUGAAAGCAUUGUGAGGGAUCCAUUGUCACCACCUCUGCAGCAUCAUUAACAGCGGUGACCAAGAACAUCCCCGUGGCCCUUCCCUCUUGCACUCCUCCCUAAGUCACUCUCCUGCAAUCCACUGCACAGCACAAGGAAAAGAGGAGUUUCUGCACUGCUUAAACACACAAGAACUACUGAUCUGAUCCUCUGAGCCAACUUACACUCUCUCCAGGGCGCAUCAAUGGUGAGUGCUCAGUGGUGACGGGGCAGGAACAAGGAAAGCUUGCAGGGCCUUGCCUGAGCACCAGUCCAUCUUCCAGGAAUCUGCAGUUGGGUGACCCAUGCCAGAAGUGAUGUCCUUGUGCUCCUCUGCUGAGCUGCUCCAGGAGGAGAGGGACACAAGUCCUGCCAGGGGACACACAAACAUCAAUGUAACUCCCACCCCUGUGCAAAUGCAGUGCUGGUGUUCAAAAGCCCAGCCUUGCACUGCUCUGUAGUCUGAUGUCGGUACCACACACGAUGGUUUAGUUUCCACUUCCACCACCCAGACAGACAUGGCUGUGGAAAUCCCAAAUUAACAAUUCCAAUUAGGAAUACUCACCAUAGUCUCAAUGAUUUGUGUGUGUGACUGCCAUUGGCUGUGACAUCUCUCAGGGUGUGGAAAUAUAGUUACAGCUGUCAGGUGCAGAAGUUCCCUUUUCUGCCCCACUCCAUUAGAUUUUUCUCAUGCUCCAGCCCUCUUGUUGUGUCAUUCCCUCAGGCCAUGUGUCAUCUGUCCUGGUCACCGUGGAAUUUGAUUCUCGUGCCUAGAACAGCUUUUGUGUUACUGGCAGCUCUUCUUUCUGCACCCAUUGAAAUCUACAAAAAUAAGACAAUGCAUGAGUAGCUUUUAAAUCUAAUUAUUCUUGUGUUUACUUGGCAAAAUCUUGGAUAUUUUGCAACCAAUUUAUUUGACUCAGCUUCCAGGAGAAGGCUUGAAGCGUGAGAUACAGUGACAUGGGUGUUUCCUGUAGGUCUAAAAUGUGGUACAAUGUGGCUUUCUCUAUCCAAGCCCUUCAGCAAAAGUGCUUGUAGCUUGCUCCUUGACUUCAGGAAAUGUGUGCAGAUGCACCUAGGCUCACCCAGCAGCUGGAGGUGUCUGGGGCACCCUCCAAAUGUAGGUCCAGCUGCAUUUGUCCCUCAUGGCACAGGCAUGAGCCCCUGACCCUGAGCAGCGUGUGACCAGCACAGCAGUCAGAAAAAUUCACACAGAAGAUUCUGUAAGCACAUUUGCUGGUUUAAACUUUGCCCCAGAGACUGGAGACUCCUGCAACUGUGAGAAAGAGGGGUCCUUGUCAUUUAUAGCUGAGGUCAGCGGAGGGCCAGAGCAAGGAAGUUUGUAUUGCAGCAAUUUGUACCUUAUCUUGUUUAUAGAUGUAAACAGAAGGUUUACACUUCCGUUACUGAACUCUCCUACACCAAAAAUGUUGAGUGCAAAGAGAAGGAGAGGGAUAGGCAACGUGUGUGCACUCAUUUCUUGAACUUAUUUCAAAAAGUACAGUUAAAGAGUCUGGUGUUUCUGGAGUUUGGAAAUUUGGACCCCCUUGCGGGGUUCAAAAACUCAUCUCUGCAGACUGCAGGGGUCAUUCCAGGAUCCCAAUAAGGUCUGGAUGUAACUUGUAAGUCUGAUGGACCCGAGUCAAUACCAUUGAAGCCAAGAAUCCGUUAUGAGCUUUAGGUCACUCCCAAUUGCUUCUGAAGUCAUUGCCCAGGCUUUUCUCAUUUUAGUCACAGUACCAGGGUUUUGUGUCAUCUGAAAAGCUCCAAGGCAAGGGACAUAUGGAGCUUACAAAAGCAUUUAUUGUGCUAGUUAGCUCCAGUUCCAUGCCAAGCAAAUUAUUCAUGCACAUUCUGUGGAUAGGAGAAACAAUUUUCAUGUGGUUAUAUGGAUAAAGGGAGAAGAAUUUGGGCCACUGACUCAGCCUGUCAGCAAUGCUUCCCCCUAAAUUCAGCCAUGGAGCUGCGAAGCAGAUUUCUCACAGCACUGAUGGUGGGGCAAGCUCUCUCUUUGGAAAAUGUGACCCCUUAUUUACAUGCCACUUGGAAACCAGUACCAUACAAGGGAGACAAAUUAUUCCUGAAGUAUGGCCAUUUGGUUAUAACCUUUCAGGAGAGUAAGCAAUUGAACAAAAGCAGCUUUAAGAUAGCAUUUCAAGUGAGAAUCAACCCGCUUGGCUGGAACAGGAGCAGCAGCAAACUGCCCAGCCUGUUGGAGACAUGGCCAUGCCAUGUGAUGCUGCUCUCCUGCAUCCUAAAGGAAACCUGACAUUCUGCAGGUGUUCUGCUUUUGAGUCUCAUGGAAGGACACAGAGUUUGAGGAGACACACUACAAAAGGUUCCUUUUAACAGCUGCUGCUUUUCCAUUUCAGCUCUGUGACCAAAGUGCUUUUUGUUUUUUUCUUUUUUGUCUCAGCAGAUUUUAUUCAAUUGCCAUUGCAGUGGGCACUGCAGAAUGCAGGGUACAUUCCUGCUUCAGUUGUCUUUCUGUGUGCUUGGCAGCAAUUCUAGAUACCCAGAAACACAGACCAUCGCUAUUUUCUUUAAUUUCCACUUUCCUUUUGAAAAUAUUUCAUAAAAGGCCUUCCCACAUUGAAAAAAAAAUUAAAUAAUUAUUAAUUUUUUAAAAAUUAAUUAAAUUUGCACUAUUAUUCAAGUUAGUGGAAAUAGAAAAGCUAAUCAGCUGACUGUUAUUUUACAAUAAAGUCAAGAGUAGUUAAUUUCAAUCCUUGUUCCACAAUACUUAUAUAAUUCAAACCUGGAGACAAAAACACUAAGGUCAUGGAUUAGCAGUGGCCUAAAGUUGAAAAUAGCCUGAGGAAGUAAGGAUGACAAAUCAUAUGUAAUGGGUAUAGGAAUUACUUAGUGUAUGAUAUUUUAUCAAUAUAAGUGGAAGAAAUACAAAAGCAAAUUCAAUUUUUAAGGUGUCCAUGAAUAAAAAAAUAUGUAAACCUAUAACUAUAACCAGUCUCUAUACUUUAAACAGAGUUACAAAAAA